rnacentral:rRNA from 1 species
UACGUAGGGUGCGAGCGUUGUCCGGAUUUAUUGGGCGUAAAGAGCUCGUAGGCGGCUUGUUGCGUCGACUGUGAAAACCCGCGGCUUAACCGCGGGCUUGCAGUUGAUACGGGCAGGCUAGAGUUCGGUAGGGGGAGACUGGAAUUCCUGGUGUAGCGGUGAAAUGCGCAGAUAUCAGGAGGAACACCGGUGGCGAAGGCGGGUCUCUGGGCCGAUACUGACGCUGAGGAGCGAAAGCGUGGGGAGCGAACAGG